UAACGGGGCGGUCCUCUAUGAGGCCCGUCAUUGUAUUGAGUAAAACUCAAAAUAUUUAACGAAACCAAUUGGAGGGCAAGUCUGGUGCCAGCAGCCGCGGUAAUUCCAGCUCCAAAAGCAUAUAUUAAAGUUGUUGCGGUUAAAAAGCUCGUAGUUGGAUCCAUGACCUCGGAGGGCGGUCCCCCACUGGGUGCGUACUGCUGCUCCGAGUCCUAUCUGUCAGUUUGUCUGUGUUGCCUCUAAUCGGGUGGCACAGGUGACUGACGUGUUUACUUUGAAAAAAUUAGAGUGUUUAAAGCAGGCGUUGAAUGCCUGAAUAGUGGUGCAUGGAAUAAUGGAAUAGGAUCUCGGUUCUAUUUUGUUGGUUCAAGAGCAUGAGAAAAUGAUUAAGAGGGACAGACGGGGGCAUUUGUAUUGCUGCGUUAGAGGUGAAAUUCUUGGAUCGUAGCAAGACAAACUACUGCGAAGGCAUUUGCCAAGAAUGUUUUCAUUAAUCAAGAACGAAAGUUAGAGGUUCGAAGGCGGUCAGAUACCGCCCUAGUUCUAACCGUAAACCAUGUCGACUAGCUAUCUGUCAGCGUUAAUAAUGACCUGACAGGCAGCUUACCGGAAACGAAGGUUUCUCGAUUCCGGGGGUAGUAUGGUUGCAAAGCUGAAACUUAAAGGAAUUGACGGAAGGGCACCACCAGGAGUGGAGCCUGCGGCUUAAUUUGACCCAACGCGGGAAAACUCACCCGGCCCGGACACCGUAAGGAUUGACAGAUUAAUAGCUCUUUCUCGAUUUGGUGAUUGGUGGUGCAUGGCCGUUCUUAGUUGGUGGAGCGAUUUGUCUGGUUAAUUCCGAUAACGAACGAGAUUCUAACUUACUAACUAGUUCCACGAUCCUUGUGGUCCUAAAUACUUCUUAGAGGGAAAACCGGCAUUUAGUCGAACGAGAUUGAGCAAUAACAGGUCUGUGAUGCCCUUAGAUGUCCGGGGCUGCACGCGUGCUACACUGAAGGAAUCAGCGUGUUUUUCCCUUGCCUGUAAUGGCUGGGUAACCGACUGAAUCUCCUUCGUGUUAGGGAUAGAUCAUUGAAACUAGUGAUCUUCAACUUGGAAUUCCUGGUACGUUUGAGUCAUAAGCUCAAGCAGAUUACGUCCCUGCCCUUUGUACACACCGCCCGUCGCUACUACCGACUGGCAAUAUCUUUGAGACACUUGGAGCGGCCGUGAGCUACCCUAACCGGUAACUCACGGCUGCGAAAAGGUU
rnacentral:rRNA from 1 species